rnacentral:rRNA from 1 species
UACGUAGGGGGCAAGCGUUGUCCGGAUUUAUUGGGCGUAAAGAGCGUGUAGGCGGUUAGGUAGGUCCGUUGUGAAAACUCGAGGCUCAACCUCGAGACGCCGAUGGAAACCAUCUAACUAGAGUCCGGAAGAGGGGAGUGGAAUUCCUGGUGUAGCGGUGAAAUGCGCAGAUAUCAGGAAGAACACCCGUGGCUAAGGCGGCUCUCUAGUACGGUACUGACGCUGAGACGCGAAAGCGUGGGGAGCGAACAGG